UACGUAGGGUGCGAGCGUUACUCGGAAUUACUGGGCGUAAAGGGUGCGCAGGCGGCUUGCUAAGACAGGUGUGAAAGCCCCGAGCUUAACUUGGGAAUGGCGCUUGUGACUGGCAGGCUGGAGUGUGGCAGAGGGAGGUGGAAUUCCACGUGUAGCAGUGAAAUGCGUAGAGAUGUGGAGGAACACCGAUGGCGAAGGCAGCCUCCUGGGCCAACACUGACGCUCAUGCACGAAAGCGUGGGGAGCGAACAGG
rnacentral:rRNA from 1 species